rnacentral:rRNA from 1 species
AGUGACACAGGGAGGUAGUGACAAGAAAUAACAAUACGGGGCUUAAAGUCUUGUAAUUGGAAUGAUGGGAAUUUAAACCUCUUCCAGAGUAUCAAUUGGAGGGCAAGUCUGGUGCCAGCAGCCGCGGUAAUUCCAGCUCCAAUAGCUAUAUUAAAAUUGUUGCAGUUAAAAAGCUCGUAGUUGAAUUCUGCUGCAUGUCGAGUCCCUCCGGGGUGUUGGCACGUGGCUUUUUUCGGACGGUUCA